rnacentral:tRNA from 4 species
UGGGGCGUAGCCAAGUGGUAAGGCAGCGGAUUUUGAUUCCGCCAUGCGGAGGUUCGAAUCCUCCCGCCCCAG